rnacentral:rRNA from 1 species
GCGUUGUUCGGAUUUAUUGGGCGUAAAGGGCGCGUAGGCGGCGUAUCAAGUCAGUUGUGAAAUCUCCGGGCUUAACUCGGAACGUGCAAUUGAUACUGACGUGCUAGAGUGUAGAAGGGGCAAUCGGAAUUCUUGGUGUAGCGGUGAAAUGCGUAGAUAUCAAGAGGAACACCUGAGGUGAAGGCGGGUUGCUGGUCUAACACUGACGCUGAGGCGCGAAAGCUAG